GUGUUGCAGGCUAUAACACUUUUAAGCUUGCAAGAACCAAUAACCGAGGAGAUGUUGCUAGCGAUGGGGAAGACGAUGGGGAUAUCUUUUAGGCUGUUUACAAUCCUUAUAUCGUGUUUGUUGAUUGCUGUACACAAUGGGUACUUCAGGAUUUUAAAUUACAAGGAGUUCUCU